AGCUCUGCUGGUUCCCUUGGGAGAACGCUGUGGGGCGGUAUCGGCCCUCCUCCUUCUCCUCUGCCCCACCCGCCAAACAUCAGAACAUCCACAAUAACAACAACAAGCCCAGAAACUGACCACCACGGUACAAAUUGGAGGAAGUCAAGAUGGUUUGGGGGUGAUGGUGGAGAAUGGGGGCUCCCCAUUCCUGCAGCCCCUUCCUGUUUGAUGUAGAGCACUGCCACUGGACAGUUCGGCCUGGCUGGUAGUUCUUUGAAGAAAGAGAGUCGUCUUCAACAACUGCCGUGGGGAAAGCAUCUACAGAAGAACUUUGUCAAUUGCCAGCUUUCAAAGACAACUCUGAAAGGCCAUUCCUGUUCCAUGCAUUUGAAGAGGAGCACUUUUUCUAGAUUUACCACGGACUUGCCCACUCAAGCUUCAGCUACUUUAUUAUACCAUUAGAUCAGAUAGGCAGACAUGAAAUGUACUUAUUUGUUUAUAUUUCUCCUGUACUUCCCAAAGUAGCUUCUAAUAAACAUGCUUUUAAAAACCA